AUUGAACGCUGGCGGCAUGCCUUACACAUGCAAGUCGAACGGCAGCACGGGUGCUUGCCCCUGGUGGCGAGUGGCGAACGGGUGAGUAAUACAUCGGAACAUGUCCUGUAGUGGGGGAUAGCCCGGCGAAAGCCGGAUUAAUACCGCAUACGAUCUACGGAUGAAAGCGGGGGACCUUCGGGCCUCGCGCUAUAGGGUUGGCCGAUGGCUGAUUAGCUAGUUGGUGGGGUAAAGGCCUACCAAGGCGACGAUCAGUAGCUGGUCUGAGAGGACGACCAGCCACACUGGGACUGGGACACGGCCCAGACUCCUACGGGAGGCAGCAGUGGGGAAUUUUGGACAAUGGGCGAAAGCCUGAUCCAGCAAUGCCGCGUGUGUGAAGAAGGCCUUCGGGUUGUAAAGCACUUUUGUCCGGAAAGAAAUCCUUGGCUCUAAUACAGUCGGGGGAUGACGGUACCGGAAGAAUAAGCACCGGCUAACUACGUG
rnacentral:rRNA from 1 species